rnacentral:rRNA from 1 species
UACGUAGGGUGCAAGCGUUAAUCGGAAUUACUGGGCGUAAAGCGUGCGCAGGCGGUUGUGCAAGACAGAUGUGAAAUCCCCGGGCUUAACCUGGGAAUUGCAUUUGUGACUGUACGGCUAGAGUGUGUCAGAGGGGGGUAGAAUUCCACGUGUAGCAGUGAAAUGCGUAGAGAUGUGGAGGAAUACCGAUGGCGAAGGCAGCCCCCUGGGAUAACACUGACGCUCAUGCACGAAAGCAUGGGGAGCGAACAGG